AACGGAGGGAGCGAGUGUUACUUAACGUAAUUGGGGGUAAAACGUCUGUAGCUGGUUUAAUAAGUUUUUAUUAAAAGUCAUUGUAGGGUGUAAUUUUAUUAAUACUAUUAGACUUGAGUAAAAAAGAUUAUAAUGGUGCUUUGUGUGUAAAAGUGAAAUUUGUAAAAACACAGAGAACGAACAGUUGGCGAAGGCAGUUAUAAAUUUUUUACUGACAUUGAGAGACUAAAGUAUAGGGAGCAAACGGG
rnacentral:rRNA from 1 species